UUCGGAUUGCAGUCUGCAACUCGACUGCAUGAAGCCGGAAUCGCUAGUAAUCGCGGAUCAGAAUGCCGCGGUGAAUACGUUCCCGGGUCUUGUACACACCGCCCGUCACACCAUGGGAGUCGGAAAUGCCCGAAGCCGGUGGCCUAACCGAUAAGGGAGGAGCCGUCGAAGGCAGGUCUGAUGACUGGGGUGAAGUCGUAACAAGGUACC
rnacentral:rRNA from 1 species